CACAAGAGUAGAUAUACAAUUAUCCUCGACUUGCUGAUGCAAAGGAACAGAGCAUUUAGUUUCUUGUCACUGUCUCUGAAAUUCCUAAAGUGUUCAGGCCACAGUAGAAGAAAGGAGCAAGAGCACUGCAGUUUCCCCUCUGGCUGCCAGCAAACCAUCUUAGGAUUCAUUCUGAAUGUUUCAGCACUGACACAGUUGGCCUGGCAUCCUCAUGACUAAACUCAAUAUCUCUCUGCUAAGAUGGACAAUACUUUUCACUGAUGAAGAAGAUGUCUCAUCUGCUAGAGGAAUAGCAUGGUAGAAAGGUAUUUGGCCUGGUAUAAUUUUUAGGUUUCUGAUUCAGAGCCUGAAACUUGAUUCAAAACAGGAUCAAAAGCUAGAUGAAAUUCAUCAGAAACUAUGGUCCUCUGGACUGGUGAAGAAAAGGCUACAAGAAGCAGAUAUUUUUGGGGAGCAGAACCUGGAAUCACUAAGCAGCCAGCAUCACCAGACUGGAAAGCCAUAUUCCCAGCUUGUUCUUCUUUCUGGCCCAACAAAUCUUGAAUUCACCUCGUCACA